rnacentral:rRNA from 1 species
UACGGAGGAUGCAAGCGUUAUCCGGAAUGAUUGGGCGUAAAGCGUCCGCAGGUGGCUAUGUAAGUCUGCUGUUAAAGAGUGAGGCUCAACCUCAUAAGAGCAGUGGAAACUACAUGGCUAGAGUGCGUUCGGGGCAGAGGGAAUUCCUGGUGUAGCGGUGAAAUGCGUAGAGAUCAGCAGGAACACCAAGGACGAAGGUAACCACCUGGGCAUCAGCUGACACUCAUGUGCGACAGCGUGGGGAGCGAACCGG